AUUCCAUGAUGUGGACAUCUUUUCAAUAGUUCUUUAAAUCUCUUCCAAGCUUCAUACAAAGAUUCACCUUCAAAUUGUGUGAAUGAGGUUAUAUCAUUCCUCAUCUU
rfam:Theobroma cacao cultivar Matina 1-6 chromosome 9, whole genome shotgun sequence.